rnacentral:rRNA from 1 species
UACAGGAACAGUUGAUCCAAGAGCGCCCCCGGAGCUGAAACCUGGCAGAACCUGUUGAAGGUACUGAACGGGAUGCUGCUGCUACUGCUGUAGUGACGGUCGCCGGAGCUUCCAGCACGGAUGCUCCACUGGUAGGUGAAGUACGCGAUGCUAAAUCAAAACACACCCUUCAGUUGGGCCGUUAGGCUGGGUACCCACCAGCGCGGGUACCCGUGAGUUGGACUUACCUAUCCCAUACCCAACAGUAGAAGUGAGAACCAUGACCGGUACCCUUCGGGCCGGGCCGGCCGGGCCGGGCUGCGACGGGGGCCCGGCCCGAGCCCGGAUCAAAAACUCGGGCUUCCGGCCCGGCCCGGCCCGGGCCCGGGUAGUAAAAACGGUAAAAGACUUCCAGUCCGGCCCGGCCGGGCUUCGGGCCGCCCGAAAAUGCACGAGCCCGGGUCUUUGUGUCCGGGCUACCGAAAAAAACACAGCCCGAACCGAUCCGGGUAGGGCUUCGGGCCGGGCCGGGCUCCAAACCGGUCCACAUGAGUGUAGGUGUGUACGUAAAAUAAAUAGAGAUCCGGAUACCAAGAAAGUGUAAACUUCUUACUUCCGGGUUGUUACAAGCCGGGUAUGUUGUGUAUGUAGCAACCAAGUCCGUGGACGGCGGCGGAGGAGCGCGUGAGGGCGUGCGCGCGGCGCGGGAGUGGAGAGAGAGGGGGAGGUUUGGGAUGAGGCACAGGCGGAGGGACGGGGCGGCGCCCGGCGGCGGCGGCGGCGGUGGCGACGAGCGGGCCCGUGGGUAGGAGCCGGAGUGCGACGGGUAGAUCUCUCUAUCCCCGGCGCCCACUACUCCGGCUGCACGGCAGCAGGGCAGAAGACGCUCCAGCUCCUCUCGGUUAGGGUGGAACAGCGGUAGAGGAAGUAGGUCGGCCGACGGCGGAACCGGCUGAGGAGGAGGGGAAGGCAGGAGGAGGACAGCGCAGAGGUGGGGCAACAGUCUGGUGUACGACGAGGUGGGAAGGAGGAGGGGAGGGUAGCAAGGGAGAUUAAGAUCCUCACCCACUCCUCCGACUCGGUGACGGGCGGCGGCCGGGCGUUGUGGAGGACUAGCUGGUGCGGCUCCUUCGUGACCUGGAAGUAGGAACGCAGACACGUGGAGACCUUUCCUCUGCUGGGCUCCUAAAACGAUAAGGACAUCAACAAACAGACCUGAGACCUCUCCGUACAUGUAUACGUCUAACGGACCCUUAUUCCUAUUGGCUGUAACUGUCUUGUAAGACACAUAUAGACCUUUGCGUCCAGUCGUCACUGAACCUUAUGGACCAAGAGCGAUGUCUACCAGAAACCCUACAGCACGUUUUACUCUAAACCCCCCGGAACUCCGUAAGUUUACCUCGUGUACACAAGUAGAAUCUAAACCUCAUGCACGUAAGUCCGAAUUUACACGUUUACGUGUGACGACCUCGCGGGAAGUCGUUGCUCCUCCGGGUAGCGCUGUGUCGGCGGCGGACGCAGCCAAGAGGGGUCGCGCUGUACCUGCGGCGGCCGCAGCCAAGAGGGGUCGUGUCGGUGAGACUUCUGCCUUUCCAGGUGACAUCGACAACAAACAAGGCAAACAACUCCGAACCAGCCGGACGACGAUGGCAAAGUCCUCCAACGUUCGAAUAUGAUCUACUAUACUUCCACGAUAAAACAAACAGUCACUAUCCGGAGCACCUCAACGUCAACAACUGUUUAUUCUACGGUGGCAACUACGAGAGGUCGUCAUCGAUACGUCGAAAGAGGACCCUGGUAGCAGUAUUUGGUUAGUUGAGAAACUCUUACCUACAGCACGAGUGAGCGACCGAAGAUUAACGAUUACGGAACGACGAUAGUCCUCUUCUGUUGUAGUUCUUCCGGUACCGACUCCGUUUUGACACU